CCCCCCCUUUGGGGGUAUGGGCGGUUACCGUCAGUGCAUCGGCGUUACGUGCCAUCCGAGUGAUGUCCUUAUUGGGCGUCGCCCUGUUGUAUGGCUAGUAUCCAUCACAGCUGAUCAAGUGGGUGUGUGCAGCAUCUCUUCAGUACAGGCAAUUGUGCUGUCUGAUUGAGGGCCCCGCCCCCACACUGGUCAGCUGACGUGACGUUGGGGGCAGUCUGGUGCAUUUGCUGGACGUAUUUAAGCACCUUCCCAGCUCUUCAGCCAGUGGCCAUUUUCUAUGCAGGCCUUACAGCUGUCACUAGCUGUGGCCAUCCUACUCGCAUUCCAGAUACCUACCUGUACUAUAAGGAUACACUACAAUUUUACUUUACCCAUGGUCGCUGUGCUGUCUGGGAGGGAUGCUUUAUGCGCUCUGCUGUUUGCCUGCUGGUCUGCCACCUCUGUCCCGGGACAGGCAUAUGUUUGGUCUUAACUGUAUUUACAUUACCACUUUGACAUACUAUAUAUCCCACUACAUCCGCCCCUGAUGAGUGUUUUUCAUAU